rnacentral:lncRNA from 10 species
CGGGCGUGGUGGCAGGCGCCUGUAGUCCCAGCUACUCGGGAGGCUGAGGGAGGAGAAUGGCGUGAACCUGGGAGGCGGAGCUUCCAGUGAGAGAGCUGAGAUCGCGCCACUGCACUCCAGCCUGGGCGACAGAGCAAGACUCCAUCUCAAAAAAAAAAUAAAAAGAAAUCCAGCCCAAAGCCUCACUUUUCAUUUUACUUUUGUUUUGUUUUUUGAGACAGUCUCACUCUGUCACCUGGCUAGAGUGCAGUGGUGCAAUCUCAGCUCACCGGCUUCAAGUGAUUCUCCUGCCUCAGCCUCCCAAGUAGCUGGGAUUGCAGAUGCGGCACCACCAAGCCCAGCUAAUUUUUGUAUUUUUAGUAGAGACGGGGUUUCACCAUGUUGGCCAGGCUAGUCUUUGAACUCCUAACCUCAAGCAAUUCACUGGCCUCAGCCUCCCAAAGUGCUGGGAUUAUAGGCGUGAGCCACCGCGCCCAGGCCCAAAGCCUUACUUUUCAGAUUAAGUAACUCCCUUGGAGCCAAGCUUCAUGGCUCCAGCCUAUAAUUCCAGCUAGUUGGGAGGCUGAGGUGGGAGGAUUACUUGAGCCCAGGAAUUUGAGGCUAUAGUGAGUCACGAUCACACCACUGCACUCCAGCCUGGAUGACAGAGCAAGACUAUCCUGUCCCUUAAAAAACAAAAUAAGCCAGGCACGGUGGCUCACACCUGUAAUCCCAGCACUUUGGGAGGCCGAGGUGGGCGAUCACCUGAGGUCAGGAGUUCCAGACCAGCCUGAUCAACAUGGAGAAACCCCGUGUCUACUAAAAACGCAAAAGAAUUAGCUGGGCAUGGUGGUGCAUGCCUGUAAUCUCAGCUACUCGGGAGACUGAGGCAGAAGAAUCGCUUGAACCUGGGAGGCGGAGGUUGCAGUGAGCCAAGAUCGUGCCAUUGCACUCCAGCCUGGGCAACAAGAGUGAAACUCAGUCUCAAAAAAACAAACAAACAAAACAAAACUCCCUGGUUUAAAAGAUAAUUUCCAAAAAAAAAAAAAUUAGUUAUUUUUACAAGCUUUAUAUUUUUUGUUUUCUUUGAGACAGGGUCUCACUCUGUCUCCCAGACUGGAGAGCAGUGGCACAAUCACAAUUCACUGCGCCCUUAACCUCCCUGGGCUCAGGUGAUCCUCCCACCUCAGUCUCCCCAGUAGCUGGGACUACAGGUACACACCACCACACCCAGCUAAUUUUUAUUUUGUAGGUACGUAGUUUUGCCAUGUUGCCUAAGUUGGUCUCCUGGGCUCAAGCCAUCUUCCCCGCCCAGCCUAGUACAAAUGUCUAAGGAAGUUUAAUCAAUUUUUCUGUCUCUGUAAGAGAAAAUAACCCUUUCCCUGGUUGGUUUACAACUCCCACCCCAUUGCUUCUGUGGCCUUUAGUAUUUUAAAGUAUUGGAUUCUUCAGUUGGUCCAAAAACCAAAACUCCAAACAAGAAGUCAACCAAACCAGGCCAGGCACGGUAGUUCACACCUGUAAUCCCCAGCACUUUGGGAGGCCGAGGCAGGUGGAUUACUUGAGGGCAGGAGUUCAAGACCAGCCUGGCUGACAUGGUGAAACCCUGUCUCUACUAAAAAUAACAAAAUUUAGCCAGGCAUGGUGGCACAUGCCUGCAAUCCCACCUACUCGGGAGGCUGAGGUGGGAGGUGGAGGUUGUGACAUUGCACCACUGCACUCUAGUCUGGGCGACAGAGCACGACUCCAUCUAAAAAAAAAGAAAGAAGUCAACCAAGCCAAUAUUGCCCCUUUCCCCAGAGGGUGUCCAGAAACAAAGACUGGGAGUUCUAAUGGCAUUCUGGGAAAAUACUAGACUAGAUAUCUGCAAUAUGCAAAACAGUCCCGAGCAACAAAGAACUGGCCUCACUAAACAAAAGCACCACCAUUACGAAACACUGAUGCAGAAAAUCCUCUCAACUGUUGGGGCUAUGAUGCUAUCCUUCAUUAUCAAUGAUCUACUCCCUCUGUGAAGAGGGAAAUCCCUGGGCUUUGAGCAAGUUACAUAAAGAGAUCCCAACACUAAGAGUAAGAGGUAGGUGGCCGGGUGUGGUGGCUCACGCCUGUAAUCCCAGCCCUUUGGGAGGCCGAGGUGGGCGGAUCAGGAGGUCAGAAGAUCGAGACCAUCCUGGCCAACAUGGUGAAACCCUGUCUUUACUAAAAUACAAAAAAAUUAGCUGGGCAUGGUGGUGCGCGCCUGUAGUCCCAGCUACUCAGGAGGCUGAGGCACCGGAAUCGCUUGAACCCAGGAGGCGGACAUUGCAUUGAGCCGAGAUCACGCCACUGCACUCCAGCCUGGUGACAGAGCGAGACUCCAUCUCAAAAAAAACAAAAAAAGAUAAGGUUGAAGUUCCUAGAUAUCAUUCUAACAGGAAAACAAGCAGUCAUAGAGCAAGCCUCUCUUUAAGAUUCUUUCUUUAGCUAGUCCACAAUCAACCUUUUAAUAAUCACCUAUAUCAGCCUGUACUCAACAAUUAUCACCAAACUUUCAAGUAGACUACUAUAGUUUCUCUACUUCCUUUCACUUUAUGCUAAGAGAUCUAAACCCAGCUCAAUUCUGGCUCAUCCUCUAAAGAGUUCUAGAAAAGAGGCAGCUACAUCCUUAUUAAAAGGAAAAUUAAGAGGCCAGGCCCAGUAGGCUCACACCUAUGAUCCCAGCAUAUUGGGAGGCAAAGGUGGGAGCAUCAGUUGAGGCUGGGAGUUUGAGACCAACCUCGGUGAGAUAGGGAGACCCCGUCUCUACAAACAGAAUAAAAAAACUUAAGGCCGGGCGCGGUGGCUCACGCCUGUAAUCCCAGCACUUUGGGAGGCCGAGGCGGGUGGAUCAUGAGGUCAGGAGAUCGAGACCAUCCUGGCUAACAAGGUGAAACCCCGUCUCUACUAAAAAUACAAAAAAUUAGCCGGGCGCGGUGGCGGGCGCCUGUAGUCCCAGCUACUCGGGAGGCUGAGGCAGGAGAAUGG